rnacentral:rRNA from 1 species
GUACCGGCAGCGAACCGAAACAACCGAGGCCUGGGGCGCUAACCUCCGGGUCCGUGCCGUCUCCCCUUUCGGGGGGUCGCGGCGCGGGCGCGUUGGGAUCCCCCCUCGUAGUAGGUCAGCGCAGGAGUGACGCAUCAGGGCAGCCGGCCGCGGAGGUGGUUUUCCGUGGUCAAGCGUUCGAGCCCGUCCCGCAGGCAAAUCCGCGGGGCGUCGAGGCGAGGCGUGAUGAUGGGGGCCUUACGGCCCGAAUCCGGUGAUCCGUGGUGCCGAGAAAAGCUUCGGCGUCAGGCGCGUUGCCGCCCGUACCCCAAACCGACACUGGUGGUCAGGUAGAGAAUACCAAAGCGAUCGAGCGAAUCCUGGUCAAGGAACUCGGCAAAUUGCUCCCGUGCCUUCGGCAUAAGGGAGACCCCCUGCGGUGAUGAGCGGCGGGGGGUGGCACAGGCCAGGGGGUAGCGACUGUUUACCAAAAACACAGGAGCGUGCGAAGGCGCAAGCCGCUGUAUACGCUCUGACGCCUGCCCGGUGCCGGAAGGUUAAGAGGAUCCGUCAGCUUCUGCGAAGCGGUGAAUUCAAGCCCCGGUAACGGCGGUGGUAACAAUAACCAUCCUAAGGUAGCGAAAUUCUUUGUCGGGUAAGUUCCGACCUGCACGAAUGGCGUAACGACUUCCCCACUGUCUCGACCAGGAGCUCGGCGAAAUUGCAGUACGAGUAAAGAUGCUCGUUAAGCGCAGAAGGACGAAAAGACCCCGGGACCUUUACUAUACCUUGGUAUUGGCAUUAGGCGCGGAUUGUGUAGCAUAGGCGGGAGGCUUCGAGGCGGGUGCGCCAGCAUCCGCGGAGCCGCAAGGUGAAAUACCGCUCUGUUCUCGUUUGAUGUUUAACCUCGAACAGUCAUCCUGUUCAGGGACAGUGCCUGGCGGGUAGUUCAACUGGGGCGGUUGCCUCCCAAAGAGUAACGGAGGCGCUCAAAGGUCCGCUCGGCCCGGUUGGCAAUCGGGUGUCGAGUGUAAUCGCACAAGCGGGCUUGACUGCGAGAUCGACGGAUCGAGCAGGGACGAAAGUCGGAGAUAGUGAUCCGGUGCCGGCGCACGGGCGCGGCAUCGCUCAACGGAUAAAAGGUACCCCGGGGAUAACAGGCUGAUCAUUCCCAAGAGUCCAUAUCGACGGGAUGGUUUGGCACCUCGAUGUCGGCUCGUCGCAUCCUGGGGCUGGAGCAGGUCCCAAGGGUUCGGCUGUUCGCCGAUCAAAGCGGCACGCGAGCUGGGUUCAAAACGUCGUGAGACAGUUUGGUCUCUAUCCUCUGCGCUCGUUGGAAUCUUGAGGAGGCCUGCCCAUAGUACGAGAGGACCUGGGUGGACGAACCUCUGGUAUGCCGGUCGUCACGCCAGUGGCGCGGCCGGUUGGCUACGUUCGGAAGGGAUAACCGCUGAAAGCAUCUAAGCGGGAAGCCUUCUCCAAGAUAAGGAUUCCAUGCGGCCCCGAGCCGCUGAAGACCCCAUGCAGAACACGUGGUCGAUAGGCCGGACGUGGAAGCCCCGCGAGGGGUGGAGCCGACCGGUACUAAUGGUCGAGAGGCAACCCACA